AACGAACGCUGGCGGCAUGCCUAACACAUGCAAGUCGAACGAGACCUUCGGGUCUAGUGGCGCACGGGUGCGUAACGCGGGGGAACCUGCCCUUAGGUUCGGAAUAACUCCCCGAAAGGUGUGCUAAUACCGGAUAAUGUCUUCGGACCAAAGAUUUAUCGCCUUUGGAUGGGCCCGCGUUGGAUUAGCUAGUUGGUAGGGUAAAAGCCUACCAAGGCGAGGAUCCAUAGCUGGUCUGAGAGGAUGAUCUACCACACUGGGACUGAGACACGGCCCAGACUCCUACGGGAGGGAGCAGUGGGGAAUACUGGACAAUGGACGAAAGCCUGAUCCAGCAAUGCCGCGUGAGUGAUGAAGGCCGUAGGGUUGUAAAGCUCUUUUACCCGGGAUGAUAAUGACAGUACCGGGAGAAUAAGCUCCGGCUAACUCCGUG
rnacentral:rRNA from 1 species